GAACCAUGCAAGCUCCACAGGAGACCUUUGAUCAGACCCUUUCGCUAGUACAAUGCCACGGAACUGUGACUAUUCCUGGUCUUUUUUUAUUUUCUCUAUCUGCUGCUGCUCUUCCUGAGCCUCCCUCUGAUGAGGGACAUGUGUAAAAUGCAUGGCAGGCUGCCCUGCACAAAGUCGGUGCUCAAGAACUGCUCAGGUUCUUUUCUUAGCCGUUUUCAAAAUCCUGAUUAGAUUUUGGAGUGCAAGAUGGAUGCCAGCAACUCAGUAAGCACUUUUCAAUGGCUCAAUAGAAUAAGAGGCUCAUUCAUGACCUCCCUGCUACGUCUUCGGACAUCAGAACAGCCAUACUCCCCUUUCCUAAAACACUCUGAUCCUGAUGUCUCAUCAGCUCAUUCCGGAUGGCCCAUUAGCCGCAGGUGCUGUAUCUUAAGAAGCUAAGAGUCAUUUUUCAUCAUGUGGGAACAGUAUUUCCUCCUCUAAGCAAGUUUACUCUGAACCAACAGUAACCCUCCCUCCACACCAAGACACUGCAUUCUGUUCAUCAUCACUAUCUUGCAUCACCUUCCCUCCAGAUGUACAUAUUCACUGUGCAAGAGCAGCUGGGAGCGGGAGACUUGCUGAGUCUGUCAGCACAUCCCUGAAGGUACCCAUCACGACAGCUCAUGCCGUGUGUGACCAGUUCUUCAAAGGUGCCUAGACUCUUUGACCACAUGAACUCAUCCAAAUUGUAUUCAGCACACCAAUUAAAUCAAUACCUGCCCGAAUAAUGACCUGCUUUCUUCUUUUAUGUGAUUUCUCCCCCAGCUUUCCCACACUGUCACACUGAAGAAUCAUGCGAACAUUUGGUAUAUCUUUGAUUAGUCCCUCAAAGCAAGUAUUUGUUCUUAUAACUAGGUUGAUAACUUGAAAUAUGCAAUUUUCUGACAUUUCCAAAACACUACUACAAAGACUAUCUUUUUUGUAAUUGUUAUUUUGUCAAGAACCAUAUUUCUUGACAAUUAAAAAAAAAACCCUCUUUAAACAUAUUACAAAAAAAAACCAAACAUAUUACACUCUAACUCAAUUCCUGGUGCACUCAGCCCCUGGCCCAGAGUGGGCAUCAGCCCAUUUUUCCUGGCGGAAGUACUUCAUACUUGGUACCCCUGUCUGCAUCACUUAGGCCUUUUACAUUUUAGGCCAAAGUCUGUUAGUGUUAGAUAUUUUGAUUAUUUUAAAAUAAUGGCAGGAACACAGACAAGAGCAUCACCGUGAAGUGUUCAUUCACAUAGGAACAGGAAAGUCCAGCAUCUAGUACAUGAAUAGUCAAAUCUCUUGGACUAUGUCUGUCUGCUCCAUUGACAAUAGGAACUGUGUCAUAUUCCUAUUGUAGCCUCCAAGACUAGCACGGUGCCUAGUCUCUAGGAAGUUUUCAGUAAGUGUUUAAAUAACUAACUAGCACAUCACACAUGGGACAGGGUGGUAAUUAUCAAUUUCUCCUCAAUCAAUUAUGUUGACUUUGGUUUAGUGGAGGCAGGAAAGCACAGGAGUGACGAAUGUUCCAGUCAGAGAGAUGUGAAUUUUGGACUCUAUUGGUAGAGCUAUACGGCCUUGGACAAGUAACCUCUCUGCCUUCAGUUUGUUCUUUUUGUAAAAUGGAGUAAUAAUGACUUCUCCACAGGUUGUUGUAUGGAUGAAAUGAGAUUAUGCCUUAGUAACAAUUAGUACAAUGCCCCAAACAAAAUGAUUGCUCAUAAAUACUAUUUUUAUUACCACCAUGCCCCCCCUGCUCCCCAAAUGAAAAGUGCCACAAGCUACUUCUACUACAUUAAAAAUAGACUGCAAACCGAAAGUAUACA